GACGAACGCUGGCGGCGUGCUUAACACAUGCAAGUCGAACGGAAAGGCCCUGCUUUUGUGGGGUGCUCGAGUGGCGAACGGGUGAGUAACACGUGAGUAACCUGCCCUUGACUUUGGGAUAACUUCAGGAAACUGGGGCUAAUACAGGAUAGGAGCUCCUGCUGCAAGGUGGGGGUUGGAAAGUUUCGGCGGUUGGGGAUGGACUCGCGGCUUAUCAGCUUGUUGGUGGGGUAGUGGCUUACCAAGGCUUUGACGGGUAGCCGGCCUGAGAGGGUGACCGGCCACAUUGGGACUGAGAUACGGCCCAGACUCCUACGGGAGGCAGCAGUGGGGAAUAUUGCACAAUGGGCGGAAGCCUGAUGCAGCAACGCCGCGUGCGGGAUGACGGCCUUCGGGUUGUAAACCGCUUUCGCCUGUGACGAAGCGUGAGUGACGGUAAUGGGUAAAGAAGCACCGGCUAACUACGUG
rnacentral:rRNA from 1 species